rnacentral:lncRNA from 1 species
GUGCGAAGCACUCUAUAUAAUAGCACCUGGUGUAGUCAUGCUGAGUAUAAGUCACAGGUGGGAAGCAGAGGCUCAGGGAAAGCACCCCUUCUGCAGUUCAACCAGCCAGAGCUUCGCGGCCUGCCCUGCCACUCCCAGCCCUCCAGAUCCCUCCACCACAUACAUUCGUCUCUAUAUACCUCCUUCAUAUCGCUUGGAUUAUACCAGCACCUGCGAGACACCUGCUUGCAUCCCCACCCUCUCCUCUUCUCUUCUUGGCUGUCAGAGUGACCCCAAGCUGGCUCUGCAGCUCACCUUCCUACAGUCCUCCUCUGGGAUUCCUCCCCUGGGAUUGAACCCACACACCUGCUCUGUCCUGUCUUUCACCUCGACCCAGCCCCUUGUCCUGCCCCUUGCCCUCUCUGUCUCCAUGACAGCUCGGGCCAGGUCUGCUCUGUGGAGUGGCCCCUGAGCCCUCUGUGUCUCUUCCCAACACAUUUUUUUCUGGGACUGUGGUAUAUAAAUUAGGUGUUGGUCUGAUCUGGGCUAAUUGCUCCUUCCCCCUUUGCCAGUCCCUUUGGCCAGGCAGCACAGGACACACUGGCCUCACAGGGAUCUUUCCAGCAUGGAAAUGGGUUAUGUGGCUCACCUGGGGAGCUGCAGUGGCUCUCAGCUCCUUUCCUCGCUGCCUUCAGCCCCCUUAGCCUGCCCCAGUCUCCUCUGAUACACCAGCCCUCUUGGCCCCACUCCUGGCUCCAAGGCCCCUCCACCAGCCACUGUGGUGGCCUCCUUCCUGGUGGUGCUGACCAGAACGCAGUCCUGAGUUUUCACCUUCAUCACAUGAAUGCCAACAUGAUGAAAAACAAACUCAUUCUUCCUUCACCCUCCUCCAACCCCCAUGGUCUAAACAAGGUCUUCCGCUUUCUUCUUAAUAGGAAGAAUAAGAAGAAAUGUCAUAUUAUGGCAAUCUUCCAGACUAAGCUUUAUAGGCCUCCAGGGGUCUGCCAGCUCCCUCUGCUCUUCUACAAUCCCCUGUUGCCUUGUGCCAGUUCGCCCCUCCAUCUUUUGCCACUUCUGUUACUGCAGAAUAAAGCUUUUAACGUAUGUCUGAGAAUGUCACUCCCCAGCUUAAAAAAUGCUCCUUCCCCAUUGCUUGGAGAACAGAGUCACACCACCUCCACUGAAAACUAUAGCUGAAAACAAUGGUGAACACGGCAUUAUUACUUGCAAAGUUUAAAACAAUCAAAAAAAAAACAAAAACAUUGCCCCAAACCUUAGAUGGUUUUUAAUAUUGACAGGAAAAAAGAAUAAGUUUCCACUAGGAAAGAGAAAAGGCAAAUAAGCAAAAACACUAGUCCUCACAGCCCUGCAUUUAGGUCUGGUUAGUCCAUUAUAUUCUCCUGGGCUUACUCAGGGAGAAUUAAUUCCUGGGUCCCCUCUACUUUUGGCACCAUUCAAAUCCCAACUGAUUUUGAUUGGAAG